AAGUCGUAACAAGGUUUCCGUAGGUGAACCUGCGGAAGGAUCAUUACAUGUUAAGCGCGGCUGGGAUCUCCAGGAGCCAUCGUCUUGCCUUUGGCAGGCGUAACUCUUGCCUAGUCUGCGUGAAUAUUUACCCAUGUCUUUUGCGUACUUCUUGUUUCCUUGGUGGGCUCGCCUGCCAUUAGGACAACCAUUAAACCUUUUUGUAAUUGCAGUCAGCGUCAGUAAAAUUUAAUCGUUACAACUUUCAACAACGGAUCUCUUGGUUCUGGCAUCGAUGAAGAACGCAGCGAAAUGCGGUAAGUAGUGUGAAUUGCAGAAUUCAGUGAAUCAUCGAAUCUUUGAACGCACAUUGCGCCCAUUGGUAUUCCAAUGGGCAUGCCUGUUCGAGCGUCAUUUGUACCCUCAAGCCUUGCUUGGUGUUGGGCGUUUGUCUUUUGGGACUCGCCUUAAAACAAUUGGCAGCCGGCAUACUGGUUUCGGAGCGCAGCACAAAUUGCGGUCUGUCCACGAAUGUCGGCGUCCAUGAAGCCCCCAUUUUCCACUUUUGACCUCGGAUCAGGUAGGGAUACCCGCUGAACUUAAGCAUAUCAAUAAGCGGAGGAAAAGAAACCAACAGGGAUUGCCCUAGUAACGGCGAGUGAAGCGGCAUCAGCUCAAAUUUGAAAUCUGGCUCUUUUAGAGUCCGAGUUGUAAUUUGCAGAGGGCGCUUUGGCAUAGGCAGCGAUUCAAGUUCCUUGGAACAGGACGUCACAGAGGGUGAGAAUCCCGCACGUGGUCGCUAGCUCUUGCCGUGUAAAGCCCCUUCGACGAGUCGAGUUGUUUGGGAAUGCAGCUCUAAAUGGGAGGUAAAUUUCUUCUAAAGCUAAAUAUUGGCCAGAGACCGAUAGCGCACAAGUAGAGUGAUCGAAAGAUGAAAUAGUACUUUGGAAAGAGAGUCAAAAAGCACGUGAAAUUGUUGAAAGGGAAGCGCUUGCAGCCAGACUUGCCUGUAGUUGCUCAUCCAGGCUUUUGCCUGGUGCACUCUUCUGUAGGCAGGCCAGCAUCAGUUUGGGCGGUUGGAUAAAGGUCUCUGUCAUGUACCUCUCUUCGGGGAGGCCUUAUAGGGGAGGCGACAUACAACCAGCCUAGACUGAGGUCCGCGCAUUCGUGCUAGGAUGCUGGCGUAAUGGCUGUAAGCGGCC
rnacentral:rRNA from 1 species